CCUGGAGCAUCAUGAGUUGUACUUCCAUGAUACAUGUGGAUUUUUUGCACGAGUAAAGUAUUGUGAUAUGGCAGAUCCAACGAUUCAGGCUUCAUCCUCUGGUCUAAACUCUAUCGUGUUGUUGAAAGACUCCAAAUUAUCAGCCAGUACAAGAUCCAGCAGUUUGUUUUGCUUUUGCCUUUCGGUUGGACAAUGGACAUUCGGAUUACCCCUCCUACCACAGGGAAGGAGCGAGUGGCUCGACACCAGGCUCUGAUGGCUCUGAGGCAGCAGGGAAUGGAGGGUUGUGGUUUUGCCCAGACCUUUUGGACGUUGGCAAUGGGGCUGAAUUAUAAUGAGGAUGAACUUAAGGACCUCCUUAAAGUCUGUCUGGAUGAUCCUGUGCCCCAGUGGGAGAUGGAGAUGGACUCAUGAUCCUAGACUUCUGGGGCUUCAUCAAGUAUCUCCAUGGUCGAAGUCAGUGGGCAAUACCGGGCCAGUUAGAUCCCUUCAGCAGGGAUUUUCCCACCACCUCUACCCUUCAGACUCCCACUAA